AGUACCUCGUCUUGUUUUAGAGAGAGAGAGGGAGAGAGGUCUUAACAUGAAGAAAACCAACGAGUGUUUUAGAGAGGGGGAGUGGUCCUUUCUUGCACAGGAAGAAAACGAGAGAGAGAGAGAGAGAGAGAGAGAGAGAGAGAAAAGAGAUAAUCUAAACUCGAACUCGUUUAGAUUAGUCUUGACGUUUCUCACUGGUCAUGAGCACCAUCUUUCAAAAUUUAAAGAAAGUAGAGGAUUUCAGCUUCUCAGUCGAUGAGGCUUAAUGAGGACGGUUUCUAGUUCUAAAUCCAGCAGCAUUGAACUUCUUGAUUUUUCAUUUGCAUUUGACGAUGCGAGGUACUCGGAUAGGGUUUUCAGGAUUGAAAUCAUGGAAGAUAACAAACCCGGUUGUGAGGAUGAGAAAAGAAGCAAGAAGGCCAGGCAACAAAAGAAUGGAUAAGAAAGGUCUUGCAGAGGAUUACUUGGGGUCAGCUUCAAAAGAAGCCAACUGAGGGUAGGUUGAUCUACAAGGGAAUGACAUAGAAAACAACCGUGUUCCAUCUUGGAGCAAAGAUUAUUCAAUUUUUUAAGAGUGAAAAGAUUACAUGUUGUAUCUGCAAUUUUGGCUGCAAGAAGUCCUUAGUUUUACAAGCCUUUCUGUAAUGGCAUGCAAGAAUCCCACCAGAAAGCUGUGACACUACGCAUCAAUGCAUCUGAGGAGAAAGCUUUCAUGGAUCGACUGAAGUUUAUGUACUAUGGGACACUAUCAGCAAGUAUUCCGGAACUUCUAAUGAACCUGAUGGUGAUUGUCGACAAAUUUGAUGUUGUUUCAUGCAUUCGCCAAUGUAGCCUAUUGCUGAGUAGUUUCCCAUUGACACCAGCAUGUGCCUCGCAAUAUUUAGAAUUUCCUAAUAAAACGUUAGAUGCAGCACAAUAUUUCACAGAUGCUGCUAAGCAAUACCUUGCCGAGUAUUAGCGCGAGUUUUUUAAGUGCAAGGAUGAGGAGUUGAUCUCCCUAUCUCUACCGGCCAUUGCGCAGUUGUUAUCGAAGCUACUAUUGCCGUCAGAGGACGAGGUGUUUAACUUUGCCCUUAGGUGGGCACGUGCCAAAUACCUCGAGCUUCAAGAGCGACGUGAGAUCUUAGGCUCAGAACUUAUCCCCCUCAUCCGAUUCCCUUACCUAACGAAGCACAUGCUGAAAGAAAUCCGCAAAUGAGAAGAUUUGGAACAUGGGCUCAUCUCAAAGGUGGUGUUGGAUGCCAUUUUAUUUAAGGCUCAGGCCCCACAAAAACAGCGGGCUCUUAUGGCUGACCACACCUACAUAUUCCACCCUGUGAAGGUGGUGGAGUUGGAGACACCCUACAAUGAAUGCAUCGUGUUGUUUGAUCUGCGGCGAGAGGAAUGUACUUCCCCUUCCCUAUUUCCAGAGGGAAGCAUAUACUCAGACCGGUUCCAUCUAAGGGCCAACAAGUUGUACCUUUGCGCAGAAUGCAAGGAUCAGGAGAAUGGUUUCAAAUUUUUUGGUCUGCACAUGGGAGUUGAGCGCAUAGAGAGUGUUAAGGCUAAGUUCAAGUUUACUGGGCCGUUGGCAUCAAGGUAUUUAUCAAAUCCGGAUUUGUCAUUCACACGCACGUUCACCAAGGAGGAGCUCUAUGGCUGGUCCAACGUCUUUAACAUCUCAUGGUCCAAAUUCGUGGAGGAUGAUAGCCCCUACUUCAUUGAUGGCUUGCUUCAUCUGCAGUUCAUGGUAUCCAUUAUUGAGUGACCUUGCCUUACCGUAUUGUAUGCAAGACAAGCUUUGGUGGCCCGCUUUUCCGUUUAGAGCUUAGCAGCUCUUGGAGACAGUCCAAAAGAAAGCUUGAUCACUUUUUUUUUGUCAUAUUAUGGGAAUAUUUAGUGUUUGAUCAGCCAAAAGUUUGCCAAUGAACGGCAGUUUUACUUCGUUACUAAACUACAUGCAUAAUUCUUCAAACUUUGAUUCACGGCCUCAAGAUUUUGAGAUUCUCAGGCAAUGAAUUAGAGGAUGAGCUCUUAAGUAUUUGUAACAGUAGCACGCACCUCCAUGUAUUUGACUCUCACGCCUGGCAAUUUCACAUGAAGUGGGAGCUUGCCACUUUCGUGCUGUACACACAUGCAACAAUUGAAGUUUGCUUUCACUUUU